GCCCCGCCUCUGGGAGGAGCUCUAGCUGCUCUUUAAGAGAAGGAUCUCUGGCCAAUUCAAGCACUCACCCAAUAACAAAUGUCAAUCAUUCAAGACUCAGUGAUGGAGUUGCUGUGGGUCUGUCUCUCUGCUCUGAUGAUGAGACGGAUCUCAUCAGAGAACUCCAGACCAUGUGCUCUAGCAAAUCUGAGCCAGACAUA